rnacentral:lncRNA from 1 species
AUGGACACAGGGCCCAGAGCCCACGCAGGGAGCGAUGGCAGACCCCAGGCCACUCGGAGCAGCUCUCGGCCAGGGACGCACGACUUCUGGAAAGCGCUCCAGAGGGACCAUCUCAAGAAAGGAGAGGGACCAUCUCAAGAAAGGAGACCGUCUCCUGGCCCAUCCCACUGUCCGCAGCCGGCCGCCCGCCCAUACCCAGCUUGGCCCACUGACGGCCGGCUCAGAUACCCCACGCGUUUUGCGAUCGGACCUGGACGCCCGCCGCCGGGGGCGCCCGCCACGUGCCCGCGGAACCCGCUGCCCCCACGGCGGCUCUGGGGCAUGUCCGGCUACAAACCAUUCUUAGCGCUCACGGUUCUGAGCACUGAGCGUAGAAAUAGCCGCUUGCUCUUUGCCCCAACGUCCCAGGUGCAGCAGAGCAGCUGGACCCGGGGUGCCGGCAGGUCCAGCACCCGUGGGGCCGCCCUCCCCGCGCACCAGCCACCCACCUGGAGGCCGGCCCCGGCGCCUACCUGGUUCGGGAUGCCGGCGAGCGGCUCCUCUGGCUCCCGUCCGUGGCCCGGGCAUCGCCCUCCUUCCUGUGUUAAGGGACAAAAGUGUAACAAGUCGGCCGUCCCCGUCACCGUUCACCCGGCCAGGCCGCAACGGGAACGAACCGCCGUGUGGCAUCCGUCCUUCUGUCCACCGCUAGGGUUUCAGAGCAGAGAAGGCUGCAGGGACAGGGGAACCGUCACUCCUGCUGUCGCCUGUCAGGGCCCCCACGGGCAGCCCGCAGUGCAGGUCGGGACACGACAGCAGCCUGUACUGGUAGCACCCAGUCCGCGAGCCCGGGAGACGCCGCGUGGCCAGGGGCCUUCCGCAGCCUCUCCCAGAACGCACCGCCCUGGAGCUCCAGAAGUCUCCCGCCUGGAGAGCGGGGGUCCCCGGCGGGCCGCCCGUGCCCCGCACCGUUGCAGGGUCCAGGGUCACCGCCUACGUCAGGCCGCAGACCGUGACCUCUUGUGA